rnacentral:rRNA from 1 species
GCCCGCUCAGAAACUUAAAGGAAGUUGACGGGGGCCCGCACAAGCGGUGGAGUAUGUGGUUUAAUUCGAUGCAACGCGAAGAACCUUACCUGGUCUUGACAUCCCGGAGACCCUUAGGAAACUAGGGGGUGCUUCCAUCUGGAAGAAUCUGGAGACAGGUGCUGCAUGGCUGUCGUCAGCUCGUGUCGUGAGAUGUUGGGUUAAGUCCCGCAACGAGCGCAACCCUUGCCUUUAGUUGCCAGUAGUUCGGCUGGGCACUCUAAAGGGACUGCCGGUGUUAAACCGGAGGAAGGUGGGGAUGACGUCAAGUCCUCAUGGCCUUUAUGACCAGGGCUACACACGUACUACAAUGGCCGAUACAAAGGGCAGCGACACUGCGAGGUGAAGCCAAUCCCGUAAAAUCGGUCUCAGUCCGGAUUGGAGUCUGCAACUCGACUCCAUGAAGUUGGAAUCGCUAGUAAUCGUGGAUCAGCAUGCCACGGUGAAUACGUUCCCGGGCCUU